GUUGUUGAAUAGAUGGUGAAAUCCAACAGCACAUUGAAGAAUUCCAUGGAUUAAGGUACGAGUUGGUUCCUCUGCUUGAAUCCAAAGAGCUUCAAGCGCGUCAUGACUUUUGUAAUAAUCCCUCUUGUUGAAGAGAGUCACUGCUUCCUCAAAGCUCCAAUAUUCUUCCUUAUCCUCGUCACUAUCCUCUUCGUCUUCUCCGGCGUGGUCGUUGUAUCUGACGAUUGAUCUUCGACUGAAACGGACGCGUAUGGAGCUAAAUUUUGUGG